AUCAGACAAUGGUCCUGCCUUUCUAUCUCAAAGAACCCAUGAAGUUGGUACAGCUUUAAACAUCCAGUGGUACCUGCAUCCUCUGUAUCAUCCCCAGCCAGUCCUCAGGUAACAUACAAAAGGCUUACUCUGUGAUUAAAACCAAUGAACCAAACUUAGCCGAGAAGUCAGGGAGCCCCGGACUUCCUUAUCGCCCCUUGCUCUUAUAGGCAUCAGGGCUUUUUCCCUCAAGUUCCUUCUUUCCUGAGCCCUUUUGAACUUAUGCAUGGCAAGGUUCUUCCUCCUGGGAGACUUUCCAGUUAAAGAAUUCCUUCUUGGGGAUUAUAUACCUAUUUUAAAUAUGGCCAGACAUCUCCUCAGGGAACACGCAAACCAAAUACUCCCAAAACCCUACAUGGGAACAAUUUCCCCAAAGCCUAUCAAACCCAGAGACUAGGUUCUCUUAAAGCACCUAUAUCCUCCUGACCUCCAAACCACACUGGCCGGGUCCCUUUCAGGUCCUCUUAACCACUCCUAUGGUGGCUAAACUUGCUGGACACCCCCUUUGGUUUCAUUUCUCUAGGCUAAAACAAGUCUCCAACAGCACAUCAAGAGACUCGACACCCCCAAACUUUCCAGAAUACAACAGCUGCCUGGCUGGACCUACUCGACUCUGGCUGACCAAGAUUCCAGAAGAAUCAGCUAAUGAGGGAGCUCGUUACACCUGCUACUCUCCCUCUGUUCACCAGGUCACGACCAAUUAUUAAGGUCUUGACUAUUUUCUCUUCUCUACCUCAUUCUUCCUGGGACCCGAUUCCCUGGUGCCCCUCGGGCUGCCCCCGCCAAGCAAGAAAAGAGCCCCCCCCCCACCCCCGCUCUCUAGCUUGAUUGUCCUCCGUGAACAGACCAUACUGUCUUUGUUCUUCCUGCUUCAUUGUCCAAGAGUCUCCCACCCGAUAGGGGAAGUUACUCAUUUGGCUGAUGGGCCUUUCUGUUUCCAACAUAUACCCAACAACACCGGGCCCUUACCCCCAGGACACCUGCACAUGUCCUACCGCCACUACGCACUCAACGCCACUACAGGUACACGGAGCCCUAUAGGUCCCCACACGCCUGGCGGGGGACAUAAGGUAACACUGCUCUGGGGAAAAGUUCCAAAUGACAUCCCCGAAACUCAUCAACACCAUCCCUUCACCUUUAAUGACUCUGACCCUCUGCUCGUGGGGCUAACGGGUCCAACAGGACCGUCUCUCACUAAACCCACGGCUAAUGGAACUUUGACUUCCACCGGCCCCCAAAAGGACCUCUCUCAUCUUUCACUAUGAAAUCGACGCUGUCGGCACGCUCCAAGAGGAGAGAUAAAAAGACACCAAGACAAAAAAGCAGGCCGCCUCCAUACAGUCCUACGUCCAGAUCAGUAUUUUACAGGCGAUCACAGCUAUAAAGCCUCCACUGCGUCAUCCCUUUUUAUUAAGAAUGUGCUACUUCUUCUUAUGUGACAGUACGGCCGACCUAGUACUUCCAAGAUGCUGCUCAGGUGCAUGUAUUAUAGUUUCACUAGCGCCCAAUGCUCAAAUCCUACAACCUCAUGAAGUGGCUGCCUCGGAUUUAAUGCCCUUUCUAGGGUCAUUCUUAGCACAUGCUCUAAAAAGACCAAGACACAAAAUAGAGGUUAACCACCUACAAGGAUUCACUGCCCUCUGUCCUGGGACUCGACCCCAGACCCCGCCCUUGACCGUGCCCUCCUCCGUCUUUGUCAUUCCUGCCACAAGUUCCCUCCAGGAACUCCAGCCACCGCUUCUGGCCUCAGAUCCUUAUAAGCCCAGCACCUCCUCAGAGUCAGGGCUGGUGCCUUCUGGAGCUCAGCCUGACCCCCUCUGGUGCCUGAAGAAAUCUCUCUGGCUUUACCAACUUGGCCUUGCGUGUUCCUCCCUCGGCAAACCUAAGACUAGGCACUGAGCUGGUGAGUGUGGAGGCUGAGGCUGCCCCCUCCCAAUGACAGAAGGGACGGGUGACAGCGGCUUUUGCUUCUUUCCCCCGUGGAACAGAGGAUGGCCUCACUCUGAGACUAGCUAGUGGCAUGAUUAAGGUCAGGUUCCGCUGGAGACUGUUGAUAUUCUUGUGCCCCGAGGCUGGGAGCUGGAAUUCCAGGGACUGAAAGAGGGGCCAUCUGCCCAUCAAGCCAUGGAAGACAGGAAAGACUCCAAGCCAGGAGCUGUCUGUCCAUCGUUCUGUCGUUCAAAACAAGGCAGCCUCCCCCAUCCCUUCCUCCUUGAUCUACGACUUAGGGCGCUAAAGCCACCCCUGCAUCAUUAAAUGCUACCUGCUCUCACUCCGACCUACCCUUGUCCAAAUAUAAUUCACUAAUGAACACGUAGGCCAGGUGGACAAACAUUAAUAAAUUAUUCUCCCACUCCCAGUUUUCCUUUCAUUAAUGCUCUGGAACAUAAAAUCAAGUUCUGAAUAUGGAACAGCUUAUGGAAAACAUAAACUCACUCUUAGACUCUGUGUGUUGGAAAUAAAAGGUAUUUUUUCAUCAAAAGGAAUUGCUAAUUCAAAGCUGGGCUCAGUGUGCUGAACUUAAUCUGUUUGAAAUGCCACUUCUCUAAAGGACAUGGGCUGAUGUCUGGUAGAGAACAAAGCAGCCGUAUCAGCUUGUUCUGCAUGGGCUUUUUGAAAAGUCACACACCCUUGGAAAGACAUCAGGAUUGGAGAAGUCCACUGAGGCCCCCCAAAAAGAUGUUUGGGUCAGAUAUAUUUGAAAUUAGAAGAAUAGCUGACAGACAGUUAUCCUGGGGAAUGGAAUGAAUUGGUUCCAUUCCUUCAACUGCAUUUGCCACAAAUAUUAGUGGGUACCACCUGUGUACCCGGUGUUUUGUUUUAGGAAUGGAAUGUCUAAAAACGACUCAUAUGGGCGUUCCCAUCGUGGCACAGUAGAAACGAAUUUGACUAGGAACCUUGAGGUUGGGGGUUCAAUCCCUGGCCUCACUCAGUGGAUCAAGUAUCUGGCAUUGCCAAGAGCUGUGGUGUAGGUUGCAGAUGCGGCUUGGAUCUGGCAUUGCUGUGGCUGUGGUGUAGGCCGGCAGCUGUAGCUCCGAUUAGACCCUUAGCCUGGGAAUCUCCAUAUGCCACAGGUACAGCCC
rnacentral:lncRNA from 1 species